rnacentral:lncRNA from 1 species
GCGAUGGCGGCGGGCUGGGGGAUGCCCGCCUUGGCGCUCAGCGAGCCCAGCAGGUUGCUGUCGACGGAGAAAUUCUUCGCCUCGUCCGCCACCGAGCAUCUCCGGUGAGGCAUGGGGUCGCUGAGGGAGCGGUAGGGCUCGGUGCCACCCUCGCUGCCACCCUCCAUCCCAUUGGCGCCCGCCGACGGGAACUUACGUCGGCGCCGCAGGCUGCCAGGGGUGCUCGGCGUCUCGGGUUUGCCAGCUGGAAGGUCUUCAACCACCGCUGCCGUCGGGUGAGCGGGCAGCGGCAUUGCGGAGUCACCGGCUGCCGGCCCGGCGCUGGGCAGCAUCCAGGAGUCCACAGCUUUGUGCAGGUCUUGGAAGGGCAUCCCCACGGGCUCUGGCUCCGUGACGAUGCCCUCGUCCGUCACGCUCGACUCGUGACCCGACAGCUCCUCCACGGAUUUACUGUGAGCGAGGUUCUCCUCCAACUCCACGUCCUUCAAACACCACGUGCUCUGCACCUGUCCCCGAAGGGUUGCGCCCGUCGUCCCCGUCGGUGCCACCGCCUCAGCGCCCUCCACACCUCCGCUGUCCUUCUGCUCGGCGGCAAAGCCGUAGUCGUGCUGGGAACCCAUCCUGCUGAUCUUCUCAAACACCUGCCUCGCCUCCUGGAUGUACUGGUCCUGGAUGACCACGGGGAGAGGAUCCUCGUCCGCCUGCUGCCCCCCAUCCGGAGCCACCCGGCCCUGGCUGUCCGUAGAGGCCAGAAGGAGCUCGGAGGAGCUCUGCUUCAUGGUGCUCUGUAGGAAAAGCCGCCGAGUCCCGGAUUUUUCGGAGCAGGUGAAGGACUUAGCGCGACGUAAAGUGGCCGUAAGGUCCUUGAGCGUUGGCCGCUCGCCCGGCGCCCAGCGGUUUUGGGGAUGAGUGGCACCGCAGCUGCCUGGGGAGGGGCCGGUAACACUGGAGCAUCCGUCGGAGCCCACGUCAAGGCCGAUCCUCACCCCUUUCUUCUUCACCUUCAGCUCUGAGAGGUCUGAUUUGAGGAAGCUGAGGAGAGUCAGGGUCUCGGUGGCGAUGUCGGGGUUGGACAAGGACUUGCGGUGCUUGGCCCGCUCCCCUUCCAGCCCUGGCUGGCGCAGGCUCUCGCUCCCGUAGUCCG